AUGUCUCGAGAUGCCUCUGUAUUUCAAGAUGAGAGCAAUAUGUCUGUCCUGGAUAUUCCCACUGCUACUUCAGAAAAGCAGGUAACACAGGAAGGUGAAGAUGGAGAUGGAGAUCUUGCAGAUGAAGAGGAAGGAACUGUACAGCAACCUCAAGCCAGUGUUCUAUAUGAGGAUUUGCUUAUGUCUGAAGGAGAAGAUGAUGAGGAAGAUGCUGGGAGUGAUGAAGAAGGAGAUAAUCCUUUCUCUGGUAAGUCUUGCUUCUUUGCUCCUGCUCCUAUAUAGCUCACUAUAGUGCCCUCAGGAUUGGAUAGGAAACUCUUGUCCACAUAUAUUAUCAGAAGUUACCUUAUUUAUUUAUUUAUUUAUUUGGUACCGGGGAUUGAACUCGGGUCCUUGUGCUUGCGGGGCAGGCAGUUGCCUUUUUUAUUGAAGUCCCAUUAAUAGACCUGAAAGUACUGAGAAUUCAAUUAUAGGAUGAUUAUGUCCAUGAGCUUUAAAGGAAGUAAAAAGAACAAA
rnacentral:lncRNA from 1 species